rnacentral:lncRNA from 1 species
GUUUCAGUCUCAUUACAAAUUGCUAUUGUCAGGCGUCUUUGUUCUCUUUAAGUCAAAACAUAUUAUACUAGUAAGUGUACAGAAUUUAUUCUUGAUUACACAUUUUUAUGUGUAAUUUCUUACCUGUAUAAGGAAAUCAAUUUUCAAUAAAACUGAACUCUUUAAGAAGAACUUAAAGUAAAAACUAAAGAAGCACGCUAGGGAACAAAAUCAGACAUUUUCAUGAUAAAUAAGUCGGUAAAAAAUGACUAUUUUAUAUUUUGUUGAAAAGAGAGGGAUGGAUUGGAGACCGGAAAUAUAUUUGUGGAUUGACUUCAUUUUUAUACAUUGCUUUUUUUCUGUGGCUUUUCUUUGAUUCUCUAGUUAAAAUGUGAAAUCAUUUUAACACAUAUGUCUUGAUUACUAUGUAAAUACUUUAUUAUUGUACAAAAUUGUUAAUACUUGUAAAAUCUUCGAUCAGAAGGAAAUAAAGUCAAUACUUUCAUAUUUCAGAAAAAAAUACUGGAACACGACACUACGGACACAAUAAGGAAAGAACGACGCAAAUGGACAUGGAUGAACAUGAUGAUAGUGGAUGGUUUCCAAGAAAAAUGGAAUCAGUGGCAAAAUUGAUCGAAAACAUUUUAAUAGUUGAAAAUAUUACUAAGUCUUAUUUCAAAGAACAGUUUUGCAGAUUUUAGUUGCUUUAUUACUAUAACACAACUAAAUGUAUAAUUGUGAAUGUUUUUCACAUGAAUAAAAAUUGGUAAAUA